UACGUAGGGUGCAAGCGUUGUCCGGAAUUAUUGGGCGUAAAGAGCUCGUAGGCGGCUUGUUGCGUCGGCUGUGAAAAACCCGCAGCUCAACUGUGGGCUUGCAGCCGAUACGGGGCAGGCUUGAGUUCGGUAGGGGAGACUGGAAUUCCUGGUGUAGCGGUGAAAUGCGCAGAUAUCAGGAGGAACACCGGUGGCGAAGGCGGGUCUCUGGGCCGAUACUGACGCUGAGGAGCGAAAGCGUGGGGAGCGAACAGGA
rnacentral:rRNA from 1 species